UUGUCCAUCACUAGCUUCUGUCCAAAAUUAUGAGGGAAAAAUCUAUACAAUCAGAUAUUUUUCGGUCCAACCUAAUAAGGAACAAUACCGUAUUGUUGGCGACAACAAGAUAAUGAUACAAUUUUUUCAAAAUACUGUUGUUAGGGCCGUUGCCAAUGCAUCGAUUUGAUUGUGUACAAUUACAGUACACUUGAAUAAGUUUGUUAAAAACUACUCACUUCCUGAUGUCGUUGGUAUGGUUGUGAAUGAAGUUGGAGAUUCUAUCGAAAUAGAAGACCAAUGGGGACAACAUUGACAUUGAGAUUGAGAGGUCUAGCUGAAACUGAUGGGAAAUCGAAGGUGAGAUUUGAUCUGGUUGUGAUUGGGGAAGAUGAUUGAAGAGAUAGAGACGACUACAUUUUGAUUGUGGAGAAAUAGAUCGGAAGUUGCUGAAGUCUUUAUCACACUUAAAAAAAUAACAAGUACUUUAGUUUAGUCUAGACUAGACUUUUGCUCAAUUAUUUAGUUGU